AUGUUUCCUGUGAUUUCUUUUCCCAACAUUUAAUAUAUUUUCUCUUGUAAUUUUUUUGUAGAAAUUUGAUCAUUAGUGGUCUGGAAGAUAGCAGAGGUACACAGUACUCUCCUGUAUCUCUACUGGAUUGACACUAAGAACACGUGCAGCUAUAUCAUCAACCAAAGUUCCACAUAAAACAUUGAGAUACUACAGUAGAGAGCUGUGACCAGCUUUCAAGAAGAAGGUUUACAGUUUGUACGCUGUGAAGGGGAUCCACCAGAUUCUUCUCCAGACCUGCAUGUACUGUUUCUUCCCUGUUAUUCUAGUUGCCUUA
rnacentral:lncRNA from 1 species